UUCAUCUUCAACCCCUACACCAAUGAAUUCGUUCUGGUCUAUCUCGACGACAUUCUGGGUUUCUCGAAGAACAAGAAAGAUCAUGCCAAGCACUUGCGUUUGGUUCUUGACAAACUCAGAGAACAUCAGUUCUACGCCAAGUUCUCCAAGUGUGAAUUUUGGCUCGACGAGGUUCUGUAUCUUGGUCAUAUCAUCUCUGCCAAGGGCAUUUCCGUGAAUCCUGAGAAGGUGUCUGCAAUUGUGAAUUGGGAACCUCCUCAGAACGUAAAGCAACUCCGCAGUUUCCUCGGUCUCGCAAGCUAUUGCAGAAGAUUCGUUGAAAACUUUUCUAAGAUCGCCAAGCCUCUCUCAAAUCUUCUUCAGAAGCACGUCAAGUACAUUUGGUCUCCGGAGUGUGAUAUUGCUUUCAACACUUUGAAAGAGAAAUUGAUCACUGCUCCAGUUCUGACUCCACCUGAUGAAACCAAGCCGUACGAGGUCUUUUGUGACGCCUCUCUCCAAGGUCUCGGUGCUGUACUGAUGCAAGAGAAGAAAGUUGUUGCUUAUACCUCUCGCCAGUUGAAACCUAAUGAGAAGAACUACCCCACUCAUGAUCUCGAGUUGGCGGCAGUUGUACACGCUUUGUUGACUUGGAGACAUCUUCUAUUGGGAAGGAAAGUGGAUAUUUUCACUGAUCAUAAGAGUCUCAAGUACAUCUUCACUCAGCCUAAUCUCAACCUCAGGCAGACUCGAUGGGUCGAAAUGAUUCAAGAGUACAAUCCGAGUAUCGAGUAUACUCCAGGCAAGGCUAAUGUGAUU
rnacentral:rRNA from 1 species